UGGGGAAUUUUGCGCAAUGGGCGAAAGCCUGACGCAGCAACGCCGCGUGAGUGAAGAAGGCCUUCGGGUCGUAAAGCUCUGUCAGAGGGGAAGAAACUCCUUGUGGCUAAUAUCCAUGAGGUCUGACGGUACCCUCAAAG
rnacentral:rRNA from 1 species